rnacentral:rRNA from 1 species
GACAGAGGUCCCGAGCGUUAGGCGGAAUCACUGGGCUUAAAGCGUGUGUAGGCGGGCCCGUAAGUGUCUUGUGAAAUCCCACGGCUCAACCGUGGAACUGCUGGGCAUACUGCGGGUCUUGGGCCAACUAGGGGCAGCCGGAACAAGCGGUGGAGCGGUGAAAUGCGUAGAUAUCGCUUGGAACGCCGAAGGUGAAAACAGGCUGCUGGGGUUGCGCCGACGCUGAGACACGAAAGCCAGGGGGGCAAACGGG